AUAAUAUUUGUCCCAAAGCAGAAAACCAGUAAGACAGAAAAGGCAAGGAAAACAGUGUAUAAAAUCUAUAACACUCAGAAUCUGUUAAAUACGGGAUAUUUAAGAAUUGACAAUCCUCAUCCUACUGUUUUUUGUUUUUCAACAAGUGCAAUGAAUGUUGGCAUUGUUUCUUAGAUUUUGGGAUGACAGUAAACUAUAAAAAUAUUUAUUUGACAGUAAGUAUAGUUAAGGCAUAAUGAGAUAAUCAAUUGAUGCAGCCUGUAAUUCACUAUUCUUAAUUUUACAAAAUAAAAAUUCACAGUGAUGGGAGACCUGGUCCAGCCCUGUCCAUUGUGACCCACACCUCCUCAGGACUGAGCAGAAAGAGCUGCUGCAAUUGCCUGGUGUUAUUAAGACAAUAUGUCUACAGAUUUCAAAAUAAUCCAUUGACUAGAGAAAUUUGCAUCAUGAUGCCUUCAACAGAGAGAGUAUUCAAGACAGUGCUUGGAAUUAGUAGCUGUCAUUUAUCCUGCCUACAGGAAGAGGAAGAUAAGUUUUAAAUGACAGCUCUUAAAGAUGGUGGCGGAGUUCCAGAAAUGAUGUUGAGAAUCAGGCUGCAUUUCUGAGAAAACACUCAGAGCUCUUUGCUCUUGUAUACUGCCAAUGUGGAAUCACUUCUAAAUUUGCCUUAAUCCAACUCCUAGAAACACUUUGACUGUCAUUCCUGAAGUGCCAGAGUUUGAGCAAACAACACGUAAGUGGGCUGCAGAAAUGAGAGAAUGCACAACAUGCCAAAUGCACUAACAUGCUAAAAGCAGGUAAAAGCUUAUAGUGUUAUAGCUCAGUCUAGCUUUCUUCCUGUAAAAUACAUUCAAAAUUAAUGUAUGAAUCAAUUCCCUAGAUAAAAAUAGACUUGUUGAGAGCCUGUUUAUGGGGUGCUCUAUCAUUCCUCAAAUUGUAUAUACAGAGAGGAGAGACAAAGAAAUAGAG